GUGCCAGCCGCCGCGGUAAAACCAGCACCUCAAGUGGUCAGGAUGAUUAUUGGGCCUAAAGCAUCCGUAGCUUGCUUUGUAAGUUUUCGGUUAAAUCUGUACGCUCAACGUACAGGCCGCCGGGAAUACUGCAAGGCUAGGGAGUGGGAGAGGUAGACGGUACUCGGGAGGAAGUGGUAAAAUGCUUUGAUCUCUCGAUGACCACCUGUGGCGAAGGCGGUCUACCAGAACACGUCCGACAGUGAGGGAUGAAAGCUGGGGGAGCAAACCGGAUUAGAUACCCGGGUAGUCCCAGUUGUAAACUAUGCAAACUCAGUGAUGCAUUGGCUUGUGGCUAAUGCAGUAUUGCAGGGAAGCCGUUAAGUUUGCCGCCUGGGAAGUACGUACGCAAGUAUGAAACUUAAAGGAAUUGGCGGGGGAGCACCACAAGGGGUGAAGCCUGCGGUUCAAUUGGAGUCAACGCCAGAAAUCUUACCCGGAGAGACAGCAGAAUGAAGGUCAAGCUGAAGACUUUACCGGACAAGCUGAGAGGUGGUGCAUGGCCGUCGCCAGCUCGUGCCGUGAGAUGUCCUGUUAAGUCAGGUAACGAGCGAGAUCCCUGCCUCUAGUUGCCACCAUUACUCUCAGGAGUAGUGGGGCGAAUUAGCGGGACCGCCGCAGUUAAUGCGGAGGAAGGGAGGGGCCACGGCAGGUCAGUAUGCCCCGAAACUCUGGGGCCACACGCGGGCUGCAAUGGUAAUGACAAUAGGUUCCGAAUCCGAAAGGAGGAGGUAAUCCGUAAACAUUACCACAGUUAUGACUGAGGGCUGCAACUCGCCCUCACGAAUAUGGAAUCCCUAGUAACUGCGUGUCAUUAUCGCGCGGUGAAUACGUCCCUGCUCCUUGCACACACCGCCCGUC
rnacentral:rRNA from 1 species